rfam:Arenibacter sp. C-21 DNA, contig: C21_contig0046.
ACAACUACGAGUUGGUUAGGUAGAGAAGUCAGCAGAGGUCAUAGUACUUUACAGAAACGAGCGGAUGGAUAAAUCCGAGGUCUCACAAGCAAAGGAAGGGC